CGCCUGGCUGCCCCCUCCUUUGACGGAGCUGGCCCGUGGCAAGGGCCCACCUUUGGCCAUCCCCCAUGUCACCGUGCGUGAGUGACAGGUGUGUUUUUGUGGCCCAGCCUGUCACCACAGGCUGGUGACACCAAGACCUGCCUGUCACCGAGAGAUCCCUAUGGGUGACCUGCUGGCAGAGGAGGCCGCUGCAGAGGCCACCGCGCUGUUGCCUUCGCCACCCUCGAGGGAGGCCAGGCUGCGGCGGCCCACGGUGUUGGCCCACAGACCCACCAGCAGGUCAGCCAAAGGGAUCUCUCGGCGGGCCACGAGAGAUGCCCCUGGCAGGAAGUCCAUCCUGACGAGCGUGGCGCCGUUCCUUCUGGUGAGGUUGCCAACGGGUACCCCCGCGCUGGGGAACGGAAGGAGGCCAGUAAAGGCCGGCCUCCUCUGCAGCGGGGACGGCUCAGUAUGAGGCGGUUCACGCCGCCACACUGGCUCACCAAGUGCAGGCGCGCCGACACUUUCAGGGAGCUGCGCGACUAACCAAUGGUUUUACUUUCUUGAGUUUAACACAAAUUAAAGUGUUCCCUCGGAACAGUUUUGGCAAAGUGUGCUGAAGCAAGAGGUGCCUCAACCACCCGGCUCACUGACUCACUGACUCACUGACUCAC